AUUCGAAUGUCCGGUGUUCGAUUUUCCAGUCUUUCGCUGUAGAGAUCGGCCAGGUACCUUCCUUGUUCUGCUUCGUUUACUCUUUUUGAUGCGGAUGAUAGAGAAGCAAGUUAUUUAAAGAAUGCUGAAUGGGACACGAGAGAUUUAUACAGAUGAUUGACCGAAAGGGGAUCUUGCAGAAAUUGACGAUUGAGAAUUGGUUAAAAAGCGGUGAACAUGCAGAAAAACAAAGAGGUUGAAUUAUGAGUUGAAAUUAGAAGAUGGUUCUGAGUUCUCAUCUCAUCCAUGGCUGUGACUGUAGCAAGUUCCCAGUAAUGACAAUAGUGUCUACGUUUUCACUUGGAUUUGUUCUGGCUUCAGAGGAUUUCUGUCUUGAUGAUCAUCUCCUGAGCAAUUUCCUAAUUUGUUCAUAAUAAUCUUGUGAAUUAGCAUUGUUAAAUAUCGUUGUCUUCUUUUCUUUUGUUGUUAAUGGAUAAUUUCUGUUUUGUAAAAGAGUUAAAUUUCUAUAAUGAGUUAUCAUAAGCAUUGAAUUGACUUUAUAGAACGUAGAAGAAUGAGUUUCAUCAAUCUACAAUAAUGGCUAAAACACAGGUCACAGCACAUGAUUUCACUGGCAGAGAAUGCAUGAGAUGGAACUUGUUUUGUUACUUGCAAAGCAAUGAAAAUUUCAUAAAUAUUUAUUGAUAUAUCAUGACUACACUUGGAAUUUGGAAAAUAGAAGCCGAGGUUGUUUGAGAGAUCAAGAUAUAUAAGGACACUGAUAACCCUUGAAACUUGGGAGUGAGUUGCAAGGCAAGUGCUGCAAGUCACACACUUUAGUGUAGUAAGACACACUUGGCUAAGCGGAAUGAAAAUUCUAAUAAAAAGGUUAAAACAUUUUUAUUCUAUUAUAGAUAUUAACAUAAAAAAAUCUCAAAAAUAAUUUGAAUAAAAAACACACAACUAUAAUAAUCUAAUAUUUUAUCCUUCAAACUAUUGCCUUAAACUUGUGGAUCUGUUUUUGUGAAUUGUGUUACUGGCUAGAUAUAGUAUCAUAUGCAAGUAUGUGUCAUCUGAUAUCUUGAUUGUCCUGCAUGUGCCAUGUGAUAUAUUGAUUGUCCAGUGACAAGGCUGAUUCAACCACAUGAUUAGUCAAGUCAUACAAAAAUCUAGGAACAUGUAAUCCAAAAAUUAAAAUCAUAUAAGUUAGUAUUACUGGUAUAAAUAACUCGAUUAAUGAUACUAUUUCUGAACAACUUUAUACGUAACACUAUUAAUCAAUGAUACUAGUGUUACUAGUAUUUAGUUUCUCUGUCAGGCUAUACAUCAAUUAUGAAGAAAGACAGCCAAUAUAAACAAGCUUGUAAUUCAUGCAAUACUUGUAAUUGAUUUGCUUAUAGAACAUAGUAAAGGUUUUCUUGACCUAGUAGUACCACAUAAUCUUUUAAAAGGCGUUUUGGGUGAGUUAUCGGCUGCAGGGUUUCUAUUUUAGUUCUAUUCCACCAAUUUUAAUCUUGAUCUUCAGAAUGAUUAAUGAUGUUAUAUUGUAGUUCUUUCUUCACAAUGUCUGUUUUCUUUUCUUUUCUGCAAUAUUUUCUCAACCUUCUUCGUUUUGUUGGUUUGAAGAAGAGGUUUAAGAAUCACUUUCACCCAACAAACUGUGUGUGGGUUGGGUUGAAGUAGUGAUACUCAUCACCGGUUGUGUUCAGGUCUGAAGUGGAUGACACUUGGAAAUAGUCCUACUGAUAACAUCCACAUGAACAAACCCUUGGUUAGCCUACAGCUUGCAUGAAGAGGUACACAGGGUUGCAACAAGAGAUGGUAAUAUGAUUCAAACUUCUUACGAUCAUACAAAAUAUCAAUGAGUG
rnacentral:lncRNA from 1 species